UGGACGGUUCUUCAGAAACGGCUCGUCAACCACCUCGGUAGCUUGUUAGCCAACAUAGCCGAAAGAUUCAAGCUAUUUAUACGCUUUCGGUGUAUAUUAGCUACUGUGUUUUAGACACACUUCUGUCUUAUCUUCUUGUUAACCUAUUUAAUAUAAUAUUACGUUAUUUUUUAUUAGUCAGCUAUAGUAGCUAGCUGGUUAAGUUAGCACUAGUCUAGUCGCUAAUGAUAUCUAGCUAGCUAACAUCCCAGAACAUGAGCUCCCUAAGUUACUCCCCUCCUGUUAAAGAAGAGGAGGUCUGCUGGACAGAGAAAGAAGAUCUGGGGCUGAACAUUGUCGUGAAAGAGGAGAAGGAAGAGGAGGAUGUCACAGUAAAACAAGAAGUAGAGGGUGAGGCUGUUACAGUGAAAGAAGAAGAGAAAGACGUUUUUGGAAUGAAGGAUGAAGAGGGGGAGAUCACUGUCACAUUAGAGGAGGACGAAGAAGAGAAGACUGGAGAACUGAUUAACACCAGUAAAUACAGGGACAGCAGAGGAACUUCAUCGAUUCCACUCCUUCAUCAAUACCAGCAGUGAACAUCUGAAAUUCACCCUCACCUUUGAUGAGCAUGAAACAAACUACACCCCUAAAAAAAGAUCCUCCCCAUUAGCCAAUACAGUCGCAUACACAGGAUUUGUAGUACACAGAGUGACUAUGACAAACAAGACCAAUUGUCUGGAUGAACGUUUCAGACAGCGGGGUUACCCAGACUGCAUGACACAAGGGAUCGUUAUAAAAAUAUAGUGGAUGAAAAAGUACCCAAUUUUCAUACUUGAGUAAAGAAAACAUUUAAAAUGUCAUUUUAAUUUUGUAACUAUUAAACAAAAACAUAACUGUUUGUACUUAUAUGGAACCAGAUCGUGACUACAAAUAAGUUACUAAAUCUUUAACCGCACUGUAUUGUUACACUGGUGAGUAAAAACUCAUGCCUCCGACCCUUUAACUUUUUGUCUGAAAAUAAAAUAUACAUUGUACUCAACUGCGUCCAGUCAGCAGAUGGACUGCCCUAUCCAGAAUAGCCUCCUCUCUCACUGACAGUUGGGGCUGCUGUCCUUUCACCCUCCUCCAUGGCUGUUAGCUAGCUACCAACAAAUGCAUUUGGAUUUAGUUUUUUACAGUGGUAAAUAGAUCAAGAUAGCUAAUAUGAAGUUAGGUAAGGGGUGAUAUUCAAUUCACUUAGCUAUCUAUCUAUACAGUAUUUGAAGUUGGCUAGAUAGCUCAUUUAGCAGCUCAUUUGAGUCAGCCUGCACUGUAGCGAGUUAGCUAAUAAUACAUCGUUUUUUUAUUUAUAUUUUCAAAAUCUAUUUACUUACUUACUUGAAUAGGUUCUCCCAGCCAUGUGGACAACUGGAAACAGGGCAGUAAAGGUUGUCACCAGAGUGUUUUAGAGGAUAUUACUAUUGAUCUAUGUACCCAUUUAAUAACCAGACCUUCAUACAAACUUGCUCUGCUGAAUUCUUGACGGAGUCACAUCGGGCAGCCUAAGCGGCACCUUUUGUGUAGUUCCUGUCCCUAGAAGUGAGGACGGAGAUAAUAGUAACAUAAUAUUCAGUGUGGUGUAAUUUGACUAUAAUGAAGUCUGUUUCUUGUGAGGUUUUCUGUCCUCAGAUAAAGAACGCUAUGAAAGCCAGUCUACAUAUGAAGAGGUCCCAAUGAAGAGCAGUAGUUCUCAGUCCUGGGGACUCAAAGAGAGGCACAUUGUUGUUUUUGCCUCAGCACUGCACACAGCUGAUUCAAAUGAUCAACUCAUCAUCAUCAAGCUUCAAGUGGUAUUUAUUUAUUCAUUUGUGAUGCCAUCCUUGAUAUGAUCCUGUUAUUGUCACAUGCUACACAUGCACAUGUGUGCCCAUGCAUCUAUCAAUCCAAUGUUAUGUUUAGGUAAGGGUGUGAUGUCUGUGCAAAAACAAAACAGGCUAUUUUAAAUCACCCAUAUUGAAAAAAUGUAGAACAAUUAGACACCAUAUAACCCACACCUACACACUCAUGUAUCAAUCUGAUUGUUGUAACUGUUUGUUAUAACUGAUUGUUGUAACUGAUUGUAUAACUGUGGCUCCUUCCACAAUCAAAGAACAGACAAGAGGGCCAAACAUGGAGAAUAGUAAGACACUUCAUUAUUCAUUAUUAUUAACUAUGCUAGAUUGUUUGUCCGUUCAUGUUUUUCAGCAUAAAGUCCUCUGCAGCCACCAGGUGAGGCCACACACAGAUUCCUGUUGGCUUUAACUACCUUAUUUUCUCAAUAACUGUCUGUCUCCUUCACUUCACCCCUCUCUCCUCUUCUCCCGAAAUCCUCUAGGUUAUAUCAGCUGUGUCGGUGAACCCCUCCCGCAUCUGAACUGGCUACAUAGAGGGCACCGCAUGUUCAGGACAACAGGAAGUAUUAUUAAAGAGAUGCUUUACAUUGAAAUACAGAUAGAGAUGCAGUAGUCCCAGAGUUAAUGCUCCCAGGUCAGUUUAUAUUAUACAGGAAGUAUUAUUAAAGAGAUGCUUUACAUUGAAAUACAGAUAGAGAUGCAGUAGUCCCAGAGUUAAUGAUCCAAGGUCAGUUUUGCAUUUCACCUCCUAAUUGAUGACUAACAAUGUUAGAAUAAAAAAUAAAAACACAAGGCUUAAACAUGCUCUCUCUCUCCAUCUGUCUCUCCUCUGCAGGUAUGUUUUGAUGUGAGAGGAAGCCAACCCCCAAUCCCAUCAUCGCCACCUCACCUGCUUUUAAGAUGACCUUUGGGCCGACUAGAGACACUUUUAUGUAAUUGUGAUGAACUGAGAGAAUAUUUAUGUAGCACUGUGAUUCAUUAAUCAUGUGCUUCCUUCCCUGCUCCUAUGUGCUUACCUCUUUCCCUUUGUCUUUUACACCUCUUGCACCAACUCCUCUUUCUUCCUCUGUUUUUAUAAUGCACAACAGAUGUGCAUUGAAGGACAGAUUGAACGUGUAUUUAUAACACUUGGAUAAUGAGCUUUUCAAUAAAGCGUUUCACAUUCUC